rnacentral:lncRNA from 10 species
GUGUAGUUUUACUCUAUGCUUCUCUCCCGUAACCUGCGAGCUCCCAGGGCCUUUCUGCUGCUUCCUCUACCCCUGUAUUUCACUCGGGUCUCCAAAUUGACUUAGCUCCAGGUCGAGUUGUUUGCCUAGUCAGUCCCAAUGCAAGAGUAUGGAUAUUUCAUUUGAAGGUGUUGAAUUCACUCACUGCUUUCGUUCCUCUCUGUGAGUGCCGCAGAAAGCAGCUGCUUCUGAUUGGCCAUCUUGGAUCCUCCCAGCAAUUGUUUCUUGAAACAUUUGUACAUAUGAAUAUAAUUUCAAUCUUGGCGUAAUAGAUGGUCCCUAAAUUUUAUUAUUAAA